UACAGAGGUCUCAAGCGUUGUUCGGAUUCAUUGGGCGUAAAGGGUGCGUAGGUGGCGAGGCAAGUCAGAUGUGAAAUCCCGGGGCUCAACCCCGGAACUGCAUUUGAAACUGCCUUGCUCCAGUACUGGAGAGGAGACUGGAAUUUACGGUGUAGCAGUGAAAUGCGUAGAUAUCGUAAGGAAGACCAGUGGCGAAGGCGAGUCUCUGGACAGUUACUGACACUGAGGCACGAAGGCCAGGGGAGCAAACGGG
rnacentral:rRNA from 1 species